UAGCCUAGUGAUUAAGGCUAUGGAUCGCCAAUCCGGAGACGACGGGUUCGAUUCCCGU
rfam:Aedes albopictus isolate Foshan contig70511, whole genome shotgun sequence.